rnacentral:rRNA from 1 species
AUGGAGGUGUAGACCCAAGUACUUCGAAUCAUCAACAAGAAAUCCAAGAAAGAACAGUGAAGGAAAGUUGUGACAAGAAAAGUGUUUUCUCGACUCGAGAUGUUAGAAGGUGCUAAAUCAAUAUGUGCAAAAGGUGCUAAAUCAAUAUGUGCCAGAGCUGCUAUCGGUAUUGGAAACAUCCUUAGUUCUUUGAUUCAUUCCGUGGUGCAAAAUCCAUCAUCAUUGGCUAAACAACCAUUUGGUUAUGCCAUUUUGGGCUUUGCACUCACCGAAGCUAUUGCAUUCUUUGCCCCAAUGAUGGCUUUUCUGAUCUCAUUCGUUUUCCGACCGCAUAAAAAAUGA